UUUGUUUCUCUCCCAGAUAUGCCAACAAGGAUGCCAGCACAACAAUUCAUGAGCUCCUGUUGUGACACGUAUGAAACUCAUCGUUUCAUUUAACUGAAUCAUGAUGGGCUUUAAUCUGUUCCGGUGGGUUUCAUUAUUCAGACAGAACUGACCAGCCCGAUAGAGAGAUACCAGUUCCUUCGUGAAGCCAUCUUCGAAAACUAGGGUUUCAUCUUCUUCUAACAAUGGAGAUUCAGCAUGUCUUUAUUGACGAAGCGGCGUGAAGAGAAUCUUUGUGUGGAGUCGUUAGCGUCGAAUCGUCUUCCGUUCAUCCCCUCUAAGACGUUACGAGAUCUCUUAAUUAAUGGUCUUUAAGGAACAUCUUAACUCCAUCGAUGCAUAUCAAGCACGACGAUCCAUUCCAUGAUAAUUAUCACAGUUCUAGGCGGUGAUUGUCCAUUUAUAAAAAACCGGUCUCUAUUUUUCCACCAUCUUAGUGCGGCUGCUGAGAUUCUGGUGGUGCGGCUGGGAACCUAGGAACUCCAGACGCGGUGGGGAAUUGAUGGGUGCGGACAUGUUUCUACUUGAUGCUAAGUUUAUAAGGUAACCGUCAUGCCAGCCACAUUGAAUGUUCACCGCCACUUCAGGCAACGUCUGACGGCUGAUUAAAUGUUAACACUGAGAGGGUUUGAUGUGGUUCCGUGCAAUAAGAACUUCAGGCUGUCCGAUUCUCUUCUGGCGAUUUGGUUCAGAAGACAAGACACAACCUGUGAAGAUCAGUCCAUGUUCUCUUUUGCGUUACAAUGCAGAAGAAGUUUCAUAGGCAGAAGCAAGGAAUAAAUUCAAAACUAUCUAGCCUGUGGCGAGAAAGGAACAUCCGUUUGUUGGGUCACAAGCAAGAAGCAUCGGCCUUAUAAUGUUCCCAGCAAAAUUUGAAGCUGUUAACAGUAACGGGAAACAGGGAAGGCAAACCAAGCGCUUACGGUUACCAGCAGAACCUCUGAUGAAUGUUCAGACAAGAGUAACUCAGGGCUAGCUCCUCUUCAGCUAGACGCAAUAGCAGCUUAGAAUCACACGACAUUCACCCUUUUAUAGAGUGUUGUCUGAAGCAUCAGGGUCGUGCAGCUCAAUGGGUUUUCUUCAGCGGUUGGUUUGAUGGGUCUGAAGAGAGGACAGCACCGAUAACAAUUCAUGAUGAUGAUGAUGCCAUUGUCAAGGUCUACAAGUGAUAGCUACGAUGCUUCUGGUGGAGAAGACUGUAAUCAGUUUACUUAUAGAAACAUCCGCAAAUCAAGAUACGAAGUACAAUGAUAAUCACAGAAUUCUUGAGGCAUUCUUUGAUAUAUGGCUGGUCGUCUCAUGCAAAUGGAUUGGUCAAGAAAAGUCUUUAACAUUCACAGAAAUAAUAUUUAUGGAACUCUUGCAGUGUUUGCAAGGAACGAGAAGCAUCUGUUGGGAAAAAACAGGGGAAGCCUUUUGUGUAUUCCUAAGAUUUUUAUUGUUCAAAUGCUUCUUUUGUUGGUGUCCGUUGUUGGCCACCAUCUGAAAUGUUCUAUCUCUUGACGUAACGAUGUUAUUUGUUUUGUUGCGUAGAGACCUUUAAUCUUUUGGUGUUAUGAAAUCCUUUUAUUAUUU